rnacentral:lncRNA from 1 species
AUGAUGUCAUACCUGUGGAUUCUGCUCUUAAGCGGCUUGUUGGCUUCAAGCGCCAAGGCACAAGACGACGUAGACACAGCAGUCGAGGCCGUAGGAGACCCUGAGACCCCAGUAGACGACGCUGAGCCAGAAGUCAAUGCGGAGGAAACACCUGCAGAACCUGCAGCUGAUGACGCUGAAGCAGAUUCUGCAGCUGAUGACGCUGAAGCAGAUUCUGCAGCUGAUGACGCUGAAGCAGAUUCUGCAGCUGAUGACGUCGAGGCAGAUUCUGCAGCUGAUGACGUCGAGGCAGAUCCUGCAGCUGAUGAUGCUGAAGCAGAUCCUGUAGCUGAUGAUGCUGAAGCAGAUCCUGUAGCUGAUGAUGCUGAAGCAGAUCCUGUAGCUGAUGAUGCUGAAGCAGAUUCUGCAGCUGAUGACGUCAAAGCAGAUCCUGUAGUUGACGACCCCCAACCGGAUCCUGACAGCGCAACAGAACCUUCUCCUGUAGUUGACGACCCCGAACCGGAUCCUGACAGCGCGACAGAACCUUCUCCUGUAGUUGACGACCCCGAACCGGAUCCUGACAGUGCGACAGAACCUUCUCCUGUAGUUGACGACCCCGAACCGGAUCCUGACAGCACACCAGAACCAUCUUCUGUGGUUGACGACCCCCAACCUGAUCCUGACAGCGCAACAGAACCUUCUCCUGCAGUUGACGACCCUAAACCGGAUCCUGACAGCGCAACAGAACCUUCACCUGUAGUUGACGACCCCGAACCGGAUCCUGACAGCACACCAGAACCUUCUCCUGUAGUUGACGACCCCCAACCAGAGCCGGGCAGUGUGACAGAACCUUCCUCUGUAGACGAAGAAGACACACAACCGGCUGAAAAAGCAAUCAAAGGUCUAGAAGUUGAGAUUAUUGGAUCACAUAAUCCUGUACAGAAUGCACCAUAUGAUGAGCCCACACCAGAAACAGACCUGGAGGGGGGACCAGCUGAUUUUACUACUAUCAAUAUAAACAAUGAACUUGAUAAGAUAAUUCCAAAUGUCCGACAAGGAUCGAGGUCAUAUAUACCUUCAGAUGGCGAAGAUGCUUUAUCGAACUCCGACACAGAUUCUAAAAUCAGUCAACAUGAAGGCCAGACUGCUGGCUCCCAAGGCGGUGAUCAACCUCAAGCCCGGGGAGCUAGCUCCACCACCCUAGCAGGCAUCCUGUGUGCCAUUGGUGUGGCUGCCGUGGGAGCAGUCGCCGGGUACUUCACCUACCAGAGGAAGCAACUGUGCUUCAAGACCGGACCGGAAGCUGAUCCAGAAGCCGGACGCAAAGCCGAUGCAGCAGAGGCUCAGUCAGAUCCCCAGGUCCUUAACACGCUGCUGAAGUCAGACCAGCAAUGAGAAUCGAACCCCGAAGACCAACGGGCAAGAAGCAGAGUUUAUCCUCCAUCCUCUGUAGAGCUGAGACUUAAUGAGGCCUCAAAGUAGGGGCUGUGUGUGUGCGUACGUGUUUGUGUGUCUGGGUGGGUGGGUGGGGGGGGGGGUCUGGGGCAGGGGGUGUUAAAGGAUAAAUACAUUAAUUGUAUAUGAACCUUCUGAUUGUGAGAAAAAAUAAAUUUAUUCAAAUAAUUGGUCA